UUCUGUUGUCAAUUGGUGUGGAAAUGAUAACAACCAAAGAAGUAGUAGUAGUACUAGAAGAGUUAAGAGUUUGAGGAAGGUGAAAAACUGGAGCAAUAUUAACUCACCACAUGAGGCUUGUUCCCCUAUAAAAAGUCCAUCCAAUGAUCAUUCUACUGAUGUUUGGCGCGAGAAGGCAAUCUGAUGCAAUUCUGUACUGUAAGAGAUCGUAUGUCAACUGAGCCUGAUAUCGAUCAUGGUGAUCGUUUUGACCAGAAGAAGCAAUUCUAGAUGUUAAAUUUCAUCCUUAAAUUCUUUUCUCAGAUGUAUAUUUAGAUUUUUGGCUCUUCAUACAAAUAAUCUAUCAUGUAUUACUCAGAUUCAAUAUUUUGUACAUUCUCAUGUGAAAAUGAAAAUGAUAAAAUAGACAAG
rnacentral:lncRNA from 1 species